UUAACCAUCAGUCUAUAACACCAUGAUAAACCUAGCUAGAUGUUACACCUGUCAUUUAACCAUCAGUCUAUAACACCAUGAUAAACCUAGCUAGAUGUUACACCUGUCAUUUAACCAUCAGUCUAUAACACCAUGAUAAACCUAGCUAGAUGUUACACCUGUCAUUUAACCAUCAGUCUAUAACACCAUGAUAAACCUAGCUAGAUGUUACACCUGUCAUUUAACCAUCAGUCUAUAACACCAUGAUAAACCUAGCUAGGUGUUACACCUGUCAUUUAACCAUCAGUCUAUAACACCAUGAUAAACCUAGCUAGAUGUUACACCUGUCAUUUAACCAUCAGUCUAUAACACCAUGAUAAACCUAGCUAGAUGUUACACCUGUCAUUUAACCAUCAGUCUAUAACACCAUGAUAAACCUAGCUAGGUGUUACACCUGUCAUUUAACCAUCAGUCUAUAACACCAUGAUAAACCUAGCUAGGUGUUACACCUGUCAUUUACCCAUCAGUCUAUAACACCAUGAUAAACCUAGCUAGAUGUUACACCUGUCAUUUAACCAUCAGUCUAUAACACCAUGAUAAACCUAGC